rnacentral:rRNA from 1 species
GAUGAACGCUGGCGGCGUGCCUAAUACAUGCAAGUCGAGCGAACGGACGAGACGCUUGCUGCUUUGACGUUAGCGGCGGACGGGUGAGUAACACGUGGAUAACCCACUUAUAUGACUGGGAUAACUUCGGGAAACCGGAGAUAAUACGGGAUAAGAUCCUGAUCCGCAUGGUUGAAUAGUGAAAGACGGUCUUGCGGGCACUUAUAGAUGGAUACGGGCUGGAUUAGCUAGUUGGUAAGGUAACGGCUUACUACGGCAAGGAUGCGUAGCCGAGGUGAGAGGGGGGUCGCCCACAUGGGAACUGGGACACGGUCCAGACUCCUACGGGAGGCAGCAGAAGGGAAUGGGCGGCAGUGGGGGAAAGCCUGACGGAGCAGGGGGGCGUGUGUGAUGACGGUCUUGGGAUCGUAAUACUCUGUUAUUGGGUAUAAACAGAUGUGGACGGAAAUGUGCACAUCUUGACGGUACUUAAUCAGAAAGCCACGGCUAACUACGUG